GGGGGCGCAUUGGCUUCGACUGGAGCAUGGUGGUGCCUGCCGCAAGUCGAGGAUUGGGCUGGUCUUCCUCGUUAAAAAGCCGGCCCAAAAACAAAGAACAACGAUAUACAGUUGGCUCUCGCUGCCUAAUCAACGGCACGACGUUGCCGCCCUGACCUCCACUAGGGGACGGCAACGACAUCAGUGGGGCGACGCGUUUGGUGAGUGACCGACCCUCCGCGGCGAAUCAACGUGGUGACUACGGAGAUCGGGUGAGCCGCGCCACAACCGAUCCCCCGACAAUCCCAGCGCGGACAAGCUUGUAGAAGCAGUCAUGGCCUUAUUCUAGGACGCGGGUUCGACCCCCGCCGCCUCCACCU
rnacentral:tmRNA from 1 species